rnacentral:rRNA from 1 species
CCUACGGGAGGCAGCAGUGGGGAAUAUUGGACAAUGGGGGGAACCCUGAUCCAGCCAUGCCGCGUGUGUGAAGAAGGCCCUCGGGUUGUAAAGCACUUUCAGUGAGGAAGAACGCCUGGUGGUUAAUACCCAUCAGGAAAGACAUCACUCACAGAAGAAGCACCGGCUAACUCCGUGCCAGCAGCCGCGGUAAUACGGAGGGUGCGAGCGUUAAUCGGAAUUACUGGGCGUAAAGCGCGCGUAGGUGGCUUGAUAAGCCGGUUGUGAAAGCCCCGGGCUCAACCUGGGAACGGCAUCCGGAACUGUCAAGCUAGAGUGCAGGAGAGGAAGGUAGAAUUCCCGGUGUAGCGGUGAAAUGCGUAGAGCUCGGGAGGAAUACCAGUGGCGAAGGCGGCCUUCUGGACUGACACUGACACUGAGGUGCGAAAGCGUGGGUAGCAAACAGGAUUAGAUACCCUAGUAGUC